rfam:TPA: Bos taurus chromosome 5, whole genome shotgun sequence.
UCCCUGGUGGUUCAGUGGCUAAGACUUCGCACUGCCAAUGCAGGGGACCCAGGUUCAAUCCCUGGUCGGGGAA